rnacentral:rRNA from 1 species
ANUGGGCGUAAAGAGCUUGUAGGCGGUUGGUCGCNUCUGCUGUGAAAGGCCGGGGCUUAACUCCGGUUUUGCAGUGGGUACGGGCUAACUAGAGUGCAGUAGGGGAGACUGGAAUUCCUGGUGUAGCGGUGGAAUGCACAGAUAUCAGGAGGAACACCGAUGGCGAAGGCAGNUCUCUGGGCUGUAACUGACGCUGAGAAGCGAAAGCAUGGGGAGCGAACAGGAUUAGAUACCCUGGUAGUCCAUGCCGUAAACGUUGGGCACUAGGUGUGGGGGACAUUCCACGUUUUCCGCGCCGUAGCUAACGUAUUAAGUGCCCCGCCUGGGGAGUACGACCGCAAGGCUAAAACUCAAAGGAAUUGACGGGGGCCCGCACAAGCGGUGGAGCAUGCGGAUUAAUUCGAUGCAACGCGAAGAACUUUACCAAGGCUUGACAUGCAUUAGAUCGCGUCAGAGAUGGCGUUUCCCUUCGGGGCUGGUGUACAGGUGGUGCAUGGUUGUCGUCAGCUCGUGUCGUGAGAUGUUGGGUUAAGUCCCGCAACGAGCGCAACCCUCGUUCUAUGUUGCCAGCGGUUCGGCCGGGGACUCAUAGGAGACUGCCGGGGUUAACUCGGAGGAAGGUGGGGAUGACGUCAAAUCAUCAUGCCCCUUAUGUCUUGGGCUUCACGCAUGCUACAAUGGCCGGUACAGAGGGUUGCGAUACUGUGAGGUGGAGCUAAUCCCUUAAAGCCGGUCUCAGUUCGGAUUGGGGUCUGCAACUCGACCCCAUGAAGUCGGAGUCGCUAGUAAUCGCAGAUCAGCAACGCUGCGGUGAAUACGUUCCCGGGCCUUGUACACACCGCCCGUCAAGUCACGAAAGUUGGUAACACCCGAAGCCGGU